UCAAAGAUUAAGCCAUGCAAGUGAAAGUAUAUGCAUAUUUUAUAUGUAGAAACUGCGAACGGCUCAUUAAAACAGUUAUAAUCUACUUGACAUUUUUUCUAUAAGGAUAACUACGGAAAAGCUGUAGCUAAUACUUGCUUUAGCACUCUUGAUUAAGUUCUUGAGUGUGUACUUGUUAAGCCUUUUAAGAAAAAAGUUAUUAACUUAAGGAAUUACAACAAAGAAGCAACACGUAAAUGGAUUUUCCAUUUUUUAGUGUGUAUCAAUCGAGUUUCUGACCUAUCAGCUUUUGAUGUUAGGGUAUUGGCCUAACAUGGCUAUGACGGGUAACGGGGAAUUAGAGUUCGAUUCCGGAGAGGGAGCCUGAGAAAUAGCUACCACAUCUAAGGAAGGCAGCAGGCGCGUAAAUUACCCAAUUCUAAAGAAGAGAGGUAGUGACAAGAAAUAACAAUACAAGGCCAAUCUGGCUUUGUAAUUGGAAUGAUGGGAAUUUAAAACCUUCCCAAAACUCAAUUGGAGGGCAAGUCUGGUGCCAGCAGCCGCGGUAAUUCCAGCUCCAAUAGCGUAUAUUAAAAUUGUUGCAGUUAAAACGCUCGUAGUUGAAUUUCAAAGAAUCGAUAUUUUAAGUAGCACUUUGUAGAUUAAUCCACAUAACUGAUACUACGUAUCGACUUUGUGAGCAUUUUUCUACUUAUGUGUUCUUUUAAUUAAAAUGAUUCUUUUUAAGAUCUUUCUUUUUUGCUUCGGCAUUUUAGGAGAUCUUGUUACUUUGAGUAAAUUAGAGUGUUCAAAGCAAACAGAUUAUAGCAUCUUUAUGCGUUUGAAUACUAUAGCAUGGAAUAACAAAAUUGAACAAGUCAGAAUUUUGUUCUUUUUUCUUAUUUUGGCUUAGUUACGAUUAAUAGGAGUAGCUUGGGGGCAUUUGUAUUCAGAUGUCAGAGGUGAAAUUCUUAGAUUUUCUGGAGACAAACAACUGCGAAAGCAUUUGCCUAAAAUACUUCCAUUAAUCAAGAACGAAAGUUAAGGGAGUGAAGACGAUCAGAUACCGUCGUAAUCUUAACCAUAAACUAUGCCGACUAGGCUUUGGAUGAAAGAUUUUAAAAUAAGAGUUUUUUCUCUGAGGAGUUAAAACUCUUAGAUUGCUUCCUUCAGUGCCUUAUGAGAAAUCAAAGUCUUUGGGUUCUGGGGCGAGUAUUCGCGCAAGCGAGAAAGUUAAAAGAGUUGACGGAAGGGCACCACCAGGCGUGGAGCUUGCGGCUUAAUUUGACUCAACACGGGAAAACUCACUAGUUUAAGACAAGAGUAGGAUUGACAGAUUAAUAGCUCUUUCUUGAUUUCUUGGAUGGUGAUGCAUGGCCGUUUUUAGUUCGUGAAUAUGAUUUGUCUGGUUAAUUCCGAUAACGAACGAGAUCUUAACCUGCUAAUUAGCGGCAAAUACGAUAUAUUCUUAUGUGGAAUUGAAUAUAGUUGAUUUGCUUAUUUUGAAGAAAAUAUUGGGAUACGUAAAUGUAUCCCUUUCCCUUUUCUACUUAAUUUGCUUAUCAUACUAUUUCUUUUUUGCGUAAGAAUGUAUUUGCUUGAUUGUAAAGCUUCUUAGAGGAACGAUGUGUGUCUAACACAAGGGAGUUUAAGGCAACAACAGG
rnacentral:rRNA from 1 species